UCAUUUUUAAAGUUUUAUCACGCACCAACCGCAUUAAAUACAAAAAUUGCGCAAGGGAUUUUGUUUUUAUCAUGUCUGCGCCUACUUGUUUACGUCGUAAAUGUAUAAACAACCCAAAAUCCUUUUGUUACAUUUGAGGUUGUUUCAUGAUUCCAAGUCAGAGGAAAAAUAUUAGUACAUUUGUCUAACAAGCAUACUUUCCAUGUUUUUAAGUAAAACUUGGUGAUCAAAACAAGUCAUUGGCCACUCACAAGAUAUGCAAGCAAUGUGUUAAGAUUUCACCUAAAAAAAUUGAAAACGCGAUUUAAUAUUGGUAACAGUAAAACAAUAUUGGCACAGGUGGUUACUUUUGUUUAGUGAAAAUAUCAAGAUCUAACAAGAAAAAUAUAAGCUAAAAUAGAAUAUCUAAAUCUUCAGCUAUUCCCAACGCCUCAUUCCGUUGAAAUAUCAAUACCAGUUUUUGAACAACUUCUUCACAACCUGAAUUUGAACAACUCAUGCAAAAAACCUUGAACAUUUGCUUAUUCUUUGUAAAGAACGUCAAGAACAACAAGUUAAGGCAAUACAACAGGUCAUCUGUGUUAAACUUAAAAUAAGUCUGCUUUAUUUUUGGCCAGCAACGCAAAUACACAGAGUACACAACGCAAAUACACAGAGUACACAACGCAAAUACACAGAGUACACAAUGGCACACAGAUUUUUACUUUUUUGUAUGAUAGCAGAGCUUAAAAAAAGCAUUCAAUAGAGACAAAGACAGGAAGAAAACAAUAUUUUCACCUUUGCACAUAAAACUAGGUCUCAUGAAACAAUUUGUAAAAGCAUUACUCACUAAGGAUGGCUGUUUCAAGAAUAUUAUCUCACAAUUUCAUGGACUUCCAAUUUUAAAAACCAAAGGUGGUGUGUUUAAUGGUCCACAAGUUCGGCAGCUUAUCUUGGUGCUGUUAAGUUGGAGGAAGGUGAACAAUUUCACCUAGAUUGGAAGGCUAUGGAAUAAUGUUAUUACGGUAGAUUGGAUGAUAUGAUGGCUGACUAUUGUUGGAGCAUCAAACUUGAUAGUCCUUAAGUUGAACUUUCCAAAAGUUAAGUUGAACACUCAAGAAAGAGCUAAAACUGAAACUUUCUACUUAACUACUUUCUAACAAUUAUAACAGCUAGCUAGAUCUUUUAUAAAAAAAAUAAUAGUGUUAUAUAAACAUUGUA